UACGAAGGGGGCGAGCGUUGUUCGGAUUUACUGGGCGUAAAGGGCGCGCAGGCGGCUCAUUUUGUCAGUCGUGAAAGCCCCGAGCUUAACCUGGGAACUGCGUUUGAUACGGAUGGGCUAGAGUUCGGGAGAGGAGAGUGGAAUUCCCGGUGUAGAGGUGAAAUUCGUAGAUAUCGGGAGGAACACCGGUGGCGAAGGCGGCGACCUGGGUAGAUACUGACGCUGAGGUGCGAAAGCGUGGGGAGCAAACAGG
rnacentral:rRNA from 1 species